CGUGAAAGUGACCGAUUUUUAUUUGUGUGGCAUAUAGAUGGCAACCGAGAAGUAUUGCCUGAUGCGUUGAUUGGUCUGCAUUCUCUCUUUCGCAGCAACUUCACAUUGUUGUAAUAAAUAUUCCUUUGUUUUGACAUAACACAUGACAAAUUUUGUUCAAAACAACUAAAUAUUGAAUAAUAAAGUCCAAUCUCAUUUCAAAUCGUAAUAUUUCAACUGGAUGAACAAAAACCGUUUUGCAGAUUAAAAUGAGUGGCACCAAAGAUGAAGAUGCAUCUCGAGCUGCCUCUGACAGUUCCAAAGAAGAGAUUGAUGAAUAUUUAAGAAGUUUGCCUGAAAAUCCACACAAAAAAUAUAGUGAAGAAUAUUUUUUAUUCCGAAUGCAACACAUACAUGAUUUAGGGGCAAAGAUUGAUGAACAACUUAAAUUAUUAAGCCGUCGACUCGGAAGAGAACCGGAUUGCGGCACGAAAUAGUUCUCGGAUUGAAUUUCGAACCAGAGAUGGAAGAGUUUCGCAAGUUGGAGCGAAUGAGACAAAGUAACAACAAUGGACAUCCAGCUCAGAAGGAAGUUGGAAACAAGCCUGAAAAUCAAAAUGAUAUCGCAAUCAAUCCCGAUGAUGAAAAAAGCGCCUAGAUUGGGCUUCAACUUCGAAAUUCUAAAAUAAAAUGCAACAUUCAGUUCUAUGAAAAUGUGCCAUAACGGUUGAUUUUAUUUGAAUAAAAUAAUAAUAAAUGAUCUCACACAAAAUACCAGAUACUUUA